CCUACGGGUGGCAGCAGUGGGGAAUAUUGGGCAAUGGAGGAAACUCUGACCCAGCAACGCCGCGUGAAUGAUGAAGGUCUUAGGAUUGUAAAGUCCUUUUUUAAGGGAAGUAGAAAGUGACGGUACCUUAGGAAUAAGUCUCGGCUAACUACGUGCCAGCAGCCGCGGCAAUACGUAGGAGGCAAGCGUUAUCCGGAAUGACUGGGCGUAAAGGGUGCGUAGGUGGUUUGACAAGUUGGUAGCGUAACUCCGGGGCUCAACCUCGGCACUACUGCCAAAACUGGCGGACGUGAGUGCGGGAGAGGCAAGUGGAAUGCGUAGUGUAGCGGUGGAAUGCGUAGAUAUUAGGAAGAACACCAGUGGCGAAGGCGAUUUGCUGGACUGUAACUGACGCUGAGGCACGAAAGCGUGGGGAGCAAACAGGAUUAGAUACCCUGGUAGUC
rnacentral:rRNA from 1 species